GGUGAACGCUGGCGGCGUGCUUAAGACAUGCAAGUCGAACGGGCUCUUCGGAGCUAGUGGCGCACGGGUGAGUAACGCGUAACUGACCUACCCCAAAGUCGCGGAUAACGAUUCGAAAGAAUCGCUAAUACGUGAUGUGCUGCUCCCUCAUGUGGGAUCAGUAAAGAUUUAUUGCUUUGGGAUGGGGUUGCGUUCCAUCAGCUAGUUGGCGGGGUAAAGGCCCACCAAGGCGACGACGGAUAGCCGGCCUGAGAGGGUGGCCGGCCACAGGGGCACUGAGACACGGGUCCCACUCCUACGGGAGGCAGCAGUUAGGAAUCUUCAACAAUGGGCGAAAGCCUGAUGGAGCGACGCCGCGUGAGGGAUGAAGGUCUUCGGAUCGUAAACCUCUGAAUCAGGGACGAAAGACGCGCAAGCGGGAUGACGGUACCUGAGUAAUAGCACCGGCUAACUCCGUGCCAGCCGCCGCAGUAAUAC
rnacentral:rRNA from 1 species